UGGAAGAAAUUGAAGCGAUGGAAUCAGAGUUAUCUUCCAUCACCAAAAAUCAUGCCAUCAUUGAUAUUGAUGAUAGAGAGGCUCAUGAUUGAUAUUAUUGUGGAGUAGAUGAUUUCUCCCUGACAUCACAAAGAUCAUAGAUGAUGUAGUGGCAUCAAAGCUAGAGCAUUCUUCUCAAGAAAAGACACCGGAGAGGGUGACUGAAUUUCACUCUUUAUCAUUCCUUACUCUUCAAUGCCCACCAAUUGUAGUCUUUUAUUUUAUCAUAGAUGUAUUUUAUCAUGAAGAUUAUGAUAUUGUUAUGGUGGAUAUUGUUAUGAAGAUUUCAUUAUAUUAUAAAAUUAUUUUAACAUUUUUA